rnacentral:rRNA from 1 species
UACGGAGGAUGCAAGCGUUAUCCGGAAUCAUUGGGCGUAAAGCGUCCGCAGGUGGCACAUCAAGUCUGCUGUCAAAGACAGAAGCUCAACUUCUGGUCGGCAGUGGAAACUGGUGAGCUGGAGUACGGUAGGGGUUGAGGGAAUUCCCAGUGGAGCGGUGAAAUGCGUAGAGAUUGGAAAGAACACCGAUGGCGAAGGCACUUUACUGGGCUAUUACUGACACUCAGAUGCGAAAGCGUGGGGAGCAAACAGG